GACGAACGCUGGCGGCGUGCCUAAUACAUGCAAGUCGAGCGAACAGAUGAGGAGCUUGCUUCUCUGAUGUUAGCGGCGGACGGGUGAGUAACACGUGGGCAACCUGCCCUAUAGUUUGGGAUAACUCACGGAAACGUGAGCUAAUACCGAAUAAUACAUUUCAUCUCCUGAUGGAAUGUUGAAAGAUGGUUUACGCUAUCGCUAUAGGAUGGGCCCGCGGCGCAUUAGCUAGUAGGUGAGGUAAUGGCUCACCUAGGCAACGAUGCGUAGCCGACCUGAGAGGGUGAUCGGCCACACUGGGACUGGAGACACGGCCCAGACUCCUACGGGAGGCUG
rnacentral:rRNA from 1 species